UAAUGAAUAAUCUCAAGGAUUUCUGGUACAAAACUAAGAUGCUAUGUAAGUGGAAUCCCAAAAGGAAGAGAGAAGGAACAUGAAGCUAAAUUCGUCAAGUUUGAUGAAUCAAUGAAUAAAUCAUUGUAGUGGAGAUGCCACUGAGAUAUGGUCUGCACUGCCUGUUGCCAUGGAUCCCAGUCUUUGGCCAUAUGUGGAAUCCCCAGAGGUGCAGUUGUGGUUUUGGCAGCCGUGGCUGGCGGAACGGUGCAUCCCUGCAGACAUAGCAGCAGGCAGGGUCCCGCUGCAGAGAGCCGUGUUCGGACGGACCAUCCAGCGGAGACAUGUUUCCAAACCAUGAAGGCCGCCAGCAGCUGCCACGGAGAGACAUUCUGGCAAGGGAUCAGCAGCAUUUUCCUAGCAGGACAGUUUUAAACUUGUGGAGGAAACAGGGCUGAGCAGGCAGGGCUACAAGUGUGCUGGGAGUCUCCCAGGGCCUGGAUGUCUCUGGAAAAAUGUGGUAGCCAUAUCCAACAGAAAAACAAAACAAGGCAUGCGGGUGGAAAUAUGGGACUUCUUGGAAAUGAAAAGAAAGAAAAGAACAAGUCUGCAUCCCCACGCUUGACCUCUUCCUGUACCCCGGCUGCUGACUGGACAGCUCCACUUGGCUUUUCUAAUGUCACCUCAGAUUCAAAUGAUCCAAAACUGAGGUCAUCCUCCCCCAAACUGGCUCCUCUUCCUCUUCUGUCGGUAGAACCACACUUCCAGACACCCAGAGCACGGCCUCCGGGAAGCCUUUGAUUCUCCCCUUCUCCGUGUCAGCUCUGUCCCUGGUUCUGCUGGCAGACGUCCCCCUCCACACAGCUCUCUCUCUGACCUUUCUGAGUCAUGAUUGCAAAGUCAUAGCUCACAAAACUGAACAAGAUUAUUGUAUAAGAAAAGGUAUUUCAAAAAAGAAAACUAGACAGAAAAAUUGAAAUACACCAGGGAUUUUCCCCAAUGCCUCAUCCUGAGGGCACGAGCCCUGGACAGGAUGAUGCGCGCGCGGCUUCCAGGGCCUCCUGAGCCCCUGUCUCUUUGGCUUGGAGCCUUUACCACACGAGGCUCACAUCUUGACCUACCUUCUGUGCCAGACUCCUGACCGUACCCUCCUUGGCACCUGCUAUUACUGUUCAUAAUACACUCACUCAUCCCCCUGUCUGCCUCACAAAAUGCCCUUUAUUUGCCCUUGGAAGACUGGGUGUCUUUCAAAGAACAGCUCAGCUCUACAAUAUCUGCCUUGUGUGCUGUUUGACUAGUAUCUGCCCUGAGAGUCCACUGCAUCCACAGAGCAAGGCCACGAGAGUGGUCACUAGCUCAGGCCCCAGCACCACAGGCACCUGUAAGUGGUAGCUGUGCAAUUUGGACCAUGUUACUUAACAUUUCAGAGGCUUUGUUGUUGUCAUAUUUGUAAAAUGGGACUAAUAAUUGUAUCUAACUUAAAAGGUCAUACAGAGAAUUAAAUGGGAUAUUGCACGCAAGGUGCUUAGA